rnacentral:rRNA from 1 species
GCAAGUCGAGCGGGAUAAUCAGGGUAGCAAUAUUCUGGUUGUUCAGCGGCGCAAGGGUGCGUAACACGUGGGUAAUUUGCCAUGAAGUCUGGAAUAACUUGCUGAAAGGCGAGCUAAUGCCGGAUGUGACUUCCGAAGGGCAUCUUUUGGAAUUCAAAGCUGGAACCGUAAGGUCUGGCGCUUUUUGAUAAGCCCGCGGUCUAUCAGCUAGUUGGUGAGGUAACGGCUCACCAAGGCUAAGACGGAUAGCUGGUCUGAGAGGACGACCAGCCACACUGGAACUGAGACACGGUCCAGACACCUACGGGUGGCAGCAGUCGAGAAUUUUUCACAAUGGGCGAAAGCCUGAUGGAGCGACGCCGCGUGGGGGAUGAAUGGCUUCGGCCCGUAAACCCCUGUCAUUUGCGAACAAACCUUACCGGUUAAUACCCGGUGAGCUGAUUGUAGCGGAAGAGGAAGGGACGGCUAACUCUGUGCCAGCAGCCGCGGUAAUACAGAGGUCCCAAGCGUUGUUCGGAUUCACUGGGCGUAAAGGGUGCGUAGGUGGUGAGGUAAGUCGGAUGUGAAAUCUCCGGGCUCAACCCGGAAAUGGCAUUGGAAACUACCUUGCUGGAGGAUUUGAGGGGGGGAUUGGAAUACUUGGUGUAGCAGUGAAAUGCGUAGAUAUCAAGUGGAACACCAGUGGCGAAGGCGAAUCCCUGGAAAAUACCUGACACUGAGGCACGAAAGCUAGGGGAGCAAACAGGAUUAGAUACCCUGGUAGUCCUAGCCCUAAACGGUGCUUGCUUGCUGUAAGAGGAAUCG